UCGUAACAAGCGUCUCCUGUUGGUGAACCAGCGGAGGGAUCAUUAUCGAGUUAUUCAACUCCCAAACCCUAUGUGAACUUACCACUUGUUGCUUCGGCGCGCGCUUCGGCGCCGCCGAGGACACUUAAACUCUUUGUUUUUAUAAGCAUUUCUGAGUGGCCGAAAGGCAAAAAUACAAAUGAAUCAAAACUUUCAACAACGGAUCUCUUGGUUCUGGCAUCGAUGAAGAACGCAGCGAAAUGCGAUAAGUAAUGUGAAUUGCAGAAUUCAGUGAAUCAUCGAAUCUUUGAACGCACAUUGCGCCCGCCAGCAUUCUGGCGGGCAUGCCUGUUCGAGCGUCAUUUCAACCCUCGAGCCCGACUCUUUUGAGGACGGCUCGGCGUUGGGGGACGGCAGACUCCCCCCGGCAUCUCGCCGGGGACGCCGCCCCCGAAAUCUAGUGGCGGCCCUCCGAGGCGACCUCUGCGUAGUAACUUGUUCUCGCACCGGAAAGCUCAGAGCGGCCACGCCGUAAAACCCCUACUUUUUUCAGGUUGACCUCGAAUCAGGUAGGACUACCCGCUGAACUUAAGCAUAUCAAUA
rnacentral:rRNA from 1 species